rnacentral:rRNA from 1 species
GUGGAUGAGUGGCGAACGGGUGAGUAACACGUGAGUAACCUGCCCCUGAUUUCGGGAUAAGCCUGGGAAACCGGGUCUAAUACCGGAUACGACCAACCCUCGCAUGAGGGUUGGUGGAAAGUUUUUCGAUCAGGGAUGGGCUCGCGGCCUAUCAGCUUGUUGGUGGGGUAAUGGCCCACCAAGGCGACGACGGGUAGCCGGCCUGAGAGGGCGACCGGCCACACUGGGACUGAGACACGGCCCAGACUCCUACGGGAGGCAGCAGUGGGGAAUAUUGCACAAUGGGGGAAACCCUGAUGCAGCGACGCAGCGUGCGGGAUGACGGCCUUCGGGUUGUAAACCGCUUUCAGCAGGGAAGAAGCGAAAGUGACGGUACCUGCAGAAGAAGUACCGGCUAACUACGUGCCAGCAGCCGCGGUAAUACGUAGGGUACGAGCGUUGUCCGGAAUUAUUGGGCGUAAAGAGCUCGUAGGUGGUUGGUCACGUCUGCUGUGGAAACGCAACGCUUAACGUUGCGCGUGCAGUGGGUACGGGCUGACUAGAGUGCAGUAGGGGAGUCUGGAAUUCCUGGUGUAGCGGUGAAAUGCGCAGAUAUCAGGAGGAACACCGGUGGCGAAGGCGGGACUCUGGGCUGUAACUGACACUGAGGAGCGAAAGCAUGGGGAGCGAACAGGAUUAGAUACCCUGGUAGUCCAUGCCGUAAACGUUGGGCACUAGGUGUGGGGGACAUUCCACGUUCUCCGCGCCGUAGCUAA